rnacentral:rRNA from 1 species
UACGGAGGGGACUAGCGUUGUUCGGAAUUACUGGGCGUAAAGCGCACGUAGGCGGAUUUGUUAGUCAGGGGUGAAAUCCCGGGGCUCAACCUCGGAACUGCCUUUGAUACUGCAAAUCUCGAGUCCGGAAGAGGUGAGUGGAAUUCCUAGUGUAGAGGUGAAAUUCGUAGAUAUUGGGAAGAACACCGGUGGCGAAGGCGGCUCUCUGGACCGAUACUGACGCUGAGGCGCGAAAGCGUGGGGAGCAAACAGG